rnacentral:rRNA from 1 species
UGAGCAAUCUGCCCUUCUCUUUGGAAUAAGCGUUGGAAACGACGUCUAAUGCCGAAUACGACCUCCUUUCGCAUGAUCGGAGGUGGAAAGCUCCGGCGGAGAAGGAUGAGCUCGCGGCCUAUCAGCUAGUUGGUGUGGGUAAUGGCCCACCAAGGCGACGACGGGUAGCCGGCCUGAGAGGGUGACCGGCCACACUGGGACUGAGACACGGCCCAGACUCCGUACGGGAGNAG